GACGAACCACACAAACGUUAUUCGGAAUUACUGGGCUUAAAGGGCGCGUAGGCGGCGCGGAAAGUAGGGUGUGAAAUCCCUCGGCUCAACCGAGGAAUUGCGCCCUAAACUACCGUGCUCGAGGGAGAUAGAGGUGAGCGGAACUUAGGGUGGAGCGGUGAAAUGCGUUGAUAUCCUAAGGAACACCGGUGGCGAAAGCGGCUCACUGGAUCUCUUCUGACGCUGAGGCACGAAAGCUAGGGUAGCGAACGGG
rnacentral:rRNA from 1 species